AUUUAAGCAUAUCAAUAAGCGGAGGAAAAGAAACCAACAGGGAUUGCCUCAGUAACGGCGAGUGAAGCGGCAACAGCUCAAAUUUGAAAUCUGGCCCUAGGCCCGAGUUGUAAUUUGCAGAGGAUGCUUUUGGUGCGGUGCCUUCCAAGUUCCCUAGAACGGGACGCCAGAGAGGGUGAGAGCCCCGUACAGUUGGACACCAAGCCUUUGUAAAGCUCCUUCGACGAGUCGAGUAGUUUGGGAAUGCUGCUCAAAAUGGGAGGUAUAUUUCUUCUAAAGCUAAAUACCGGCCAGAGACCGAUAGCGCACAAGUAGAGUGAUCGAAAGAUGAAAAGCACUUUGAAAAGAGGGUUAAACAGCACGUGAAAUUGUUAAAAGGGAAGCGCUUGUGACCAGACUUGCGUCCGGUGAAUCACCCAGCUCUCGCGGCUGGGGCACUUCGCCGGCUCAGGCCAGCAUCAGCUCGCUGUCGGGGACAAAAGCUUCGGGAACGUAGCUCUCUUCGGGGAGUGUUAUAGCCUGUUGCACAAUACCCUUCGGCGGGCUGAGGUACGCGCUCCGC
rnacentral:rRNA from 1 species